rnacentral:rRNA from 1 species
CCCUUAGAUGUUCUGGGCCGCACGCGCGCUACACUGAUGCAUUCCACGAGUCUAAAACCUGCUCUGAUAGGGGUGGGUAAUCUUUUGAAUGUGCAUCGUGAUUGGGAUAGAUGAUUGCAAUUUUUCAUCUUCAACGAGGAAUGCCUAGUAAACGCAAGUCAUCAGCUUGCAUUGAUUACGUCCCUGCCCUUUGUACACACCGCCCGUCGCUCCUACCGAUUGAAUGAUCCGAUGAAUAUCAUGGAUUGAGGAUGCAAGUAGGUUCGCCUAUCUUCAUCUUCGAGAAGUGAAGUAAAUCUUAUCAUUUAGAGGAAGGAGAAGUCGUAACA